CCCGGCAGGAGCGGCCUUACGGAGAAAGGUUCAAAGCACUGAAGUUUAACCUUGGGACGUUUCCUAGGCUGGCACCGCGACCCGCCUGACGGGAGGGGAAGGGGCUGUGCUGGCAGAAGCACAAAGGAGUGGGUUUAAAGCAGGGGGAUCUGCCAGGAGUCUGCUGUAAGAGAGGCUCCGACGCCAUCCCGAUGGAGGUAUGGAUGUCACUGAGGAGAGAGGUGGGCGUGAUGAGGAAAAUUCCAUCUGAUAGACUCAACAACAUGACUUUGGAGUAUGAAAGGAUGGAGGAAUUCUCCUCAGCCCUGUGCUUCCUCUGGAUAUUACCUAGAGAUACUGCUGGAUGCUGAGAAAUGAGCUGGAUCAUGAUCUUAAUGACCGUGGGGUCCACGGGCCUACAACUGGGCCACCCAGAGAAGUGCAGCUCUUUGUGUGGUUUUGUUUUCACCCUCUUCUAUUAGCUGUGCCUCUGUCAUGUACAUUCUUAGAUAUUGUAAAGGAGCUCUUUAUCUUUAAUUUAGCUUAAUUUGACUUGCUUUAAGAGUGGUUUGGGAUAUGGGAAGACAUUAAGUCAUGCUGCUGGCUCUCACAGCACACCCCCAUUUUUUCAUGUAUCCAACAAGCUACAAGGUUGGCCCUCACUCAGACAGAGGGACCAGCAUGGAACAUGAUGCUGCAAGAGGAUUGUAUAAAGAAGUUCCAUGUCAUCUUGACGUAGCUGAGGCCAGUGAUGAAAUCUUUAAUGACCUGCACACGGCUUGGAUUUUAUCCUUCAGGGAUCACAGCCUGCUAUCUGCCCUUCUCUCCAAGGAAUGAGUAGUGGCAAGUCUCCUGAAAAGGAUCAACGUUUUUUAAAAUUGUGCAAAUAUGUGUGCUGGCAGGUGGCUAGCAAAUGUGUUUAAGGUAAACCAAUGUUGAAAUAAUCUGUUAUAAUGAAAUAUGCACUGAAGUCUGGAUUAGCUCUUCUGUACCAGCCAGCUGCUUCUUCCAUGCAGAACCUGCUGACUGUGAAUCCAUCUGCAUUUCCAAGAGGGUUGGACUUUGGUGUUUGAGAUGAUAAAAUAGAACUAUCUGAAAUGUGCAUAACUCCUAUUAUUCUUACUGUAUCAUUUCCCUAAAUAUUACUCAUAAGAGAAACAGAAAAACUUGUGCAAAAUAGCAAGCAGCACUUUCUUUUUUAGCAUGCAACAGGAACUGUUAUAAACAGCUGUUAAUAAAAGCACAUGGAGCAUUGUGUGGUGACUGAAGCAAGUUCUCCCCACAUCCUGCCCGGAGAUGGAGGGCUUCUCUAGUCUGAAGAUACAGGAAACAGCCAAGCCAGUCCCCCCAGAUCCUUUCACAGCAAUGCAACUGAACAAUUUAUUCAGAGUUAUGGGACCCCAUCUGCACUUGUAUCAAAAGCAUGUUUCUAUUUGCAUCUAAAUUUUCUAAUGUUCUCUUUCCUUGGAGGAUGGACAGAAAGGCUCAAAGUGGGCACCAGCUUUCUUUCUUUACUGUUCAACUAAUCAAACUCUCUUCCCCUGUUUUAAUUUUUGAUUUCCUCCUUCGCUAGGAAGAUUCCUUGCAUUCCUGUAUGGAUACCUCUCUCAUGCCUCAGAGGUUCUCUGUUGUAAUAAAUAAGAGGAGAAGGAGAAAAACUCCUUGUUCCACAUUAAAAUGUAGUGAGUUAAUGAUUUUUGAUUGUGCUAAUAAAUAUUUCCAAGUAUUUCAAUCCAA